rnacentral:rRNA from 1 species
CAGUCGCCACGGGAAUACGGAGGGAGCUAGCGUUAUUCGGAAUUACUGGGCGUAAAGCGCACGUAGGCGGCUUUGUAAGUUAGAGGUGAAAGCCCGGAGCUCAACUCCGGAAUUGCCUUUAAGACUGCAGAGCUAGCAGGUGAGAGAGGUGAGUGGAAUUCCGAGUGUAGAGGUGAAAUUCGUAGAUAUUCGGAAGAACACCAGUGGCGAAGGCGGCUCACUGGCUCAUACUGGACGCUGAGGUGCGAAAGCGUGGGGAGCAAACAGGAUUAGAUACCCCCGUAGUCCCUGUCUCUUAUAC